rnacentral:rRNA from 1 species
UACGGGGGGGGCAAGCGUUGUUCGGAAUUACUGGGCGUAAAUGGGCUCGGUAGGCGGCCAACUAAGUCGGAUGUGAAAUCCCCAGGCUUAACCUGGGAACUGCAUCCGAUACUGGAUGGCUUGAAUCCGGGAGAGGGAUGCAGAAUUCCAGGUGUAGCGGUGAAAUGCGUAGAUAUCUGGAGGAAUACCGGUGGCGAAGGCGGCAUCCUGGACCCGACAUUGACGCUGAGGAGCGAAAGCAUGGGGAGCGAACGAGG